rfam:Rhizoctonia solani isolate BBA 69670 genome assembly, contig: RSOLAG22IIIB_scaffold01278
GGGCAUGUAGCGCAGUUGGUAGCGCGCUCGCUUAGCAAACCACGCUGCUGGAGAUGGUUGCGAGAGGUCCUCGAUUCGAAUUCGGGCUUGUCCA